GCAUGGAAGAAUUCUGUUUUACUCUUGAAAUAGUAAAUGCAGUCAGACACUAUGCUAAAUUAUUGUUUUCACACACUGACUCAAAAACAGAAGAGUGCUUGUUCUGUGCCUCUUUCUUAUCUCAGAGUGAAUACAGAA